rnacentral:rRNA from 1 species
CAGCCGUCGCGGGAAUACAGAGGGUGCGAGCGUUAAUCGGAUUUACUGGGCGUAAAGCGUGCGUAGGCGGCUUCUUAAGUCGGAUGUGAAAUCCCUGAGCUUAACUUAGGAAUUGCAUUCGAUACUGGGAAGCUAGAGUAUGGGAGAGGAUGGUAGAAUUCCAGGUGUAGCGGUGAAAUGCGUAGAGAUCUGGAGGAAUACCGAUGGCGAAGGCAGCCAUCUGGCCUAAUACUGACGCUGAGGUACGAAAGCAUGGGGAGCAAACAGGAUUAGAGACCCCCGUAGUCCCUGUCUCUUAUAC